AUUAACACUAUAAAUAAGAGAAUGGUAGAAAAGAUUAUUGGGCUUUCAGCUCAUAAAGUGAUGUUGUUGCCCAUUGCAGAGAGAGGUUUUGCCAAUGGCUAAGGAUUUAGCUCAGCCUAUUGAUGAAGGACACUUGCUCAUUACAGUAAAGAGAGGCUUCGGUCUAAGGUGGAGGAAUGACAUAGAAUUCAAGAAGAAGGAUUCUUGUCUAUUAGUGAGAAGGCUCUUGCCCAUAAAGUUGAAGACACCCUUUGCAAUGUAGUAUUAUAAUAGUAAAUAUAUUGGGUUAUG
rnacentral:misc_RNA from 1 species